CUGCCCCUUCCUUACUCCAGCCUGUCUGACUGUGAUGUGGUCUGGCAUUGACGGGGGAAACACUAACCGCUCCACCACACACUUUCACUGGGGUUAGUCAGUGCAGGACUACUGGUGGAGUGAACAUG